GAUUUGGGGGUUAUUGUGGAAUUUGAGAGAAAAUAAUGAAAAAGUGGCUGGAAAUUAAGUCAAGAAAGGGCUGAAAAAUCGAGAGAUUUAGGAGCUCAAAAAGACAAGUUUGUUGAAGAAGAUGGCCGAAAAGUGAAAUGGAUUUAAUGGGCAAACAGUUAACUUUGGAAAUCGUGGGUUAGUGCAAAGGCUUGUUUAAAAUGUCUAAUUUAGUGGCACUAAUACCCAGUUUCAUUAUGCAAUUUAUUUUAAUCAUUAUCAAUAUCUUGAUUAGCAGACUUGACAAUGAUUAAAGGGGGCACUGUUUGAGUGGAUAUUUAAUGCUGGGCUUAGUGACAGUGGAAGCCUAAGAACACAAAAAGCAAAGGGAAAAUUAGGCUCAGACAAGUCGACAGCCCAGGAGAAAUUAAAAAUCAUUUCUUAACAAUGAAUAUGCAAUAAGCUUAUGCAAGAAGUGACACUCAGAAGAGCAGCUCACCUUCAGCAAAAAGGACUUUUCGAUGGCAUGGAUAGGUAAAUAAGUGGUGACUCACCAUGUUCUGGAGGCCAUCACCAAAUGGCAAGGCUUGGACAGUUGAGCCAAAAAGUCUAUAAACGCAGCAUGGGACACCAAAGACAAUGACACUUAACCAAUCAAUCAAAAAACAUCUCACUUUACUCUCAGACAAGCAAGAAACCAGAAAGCUUUAGUUUGUCUAGACUUUGUUCUCUUAGCCAUAAAUUCACCAUAGAAAGACAUCUUUUGUCAAGAUUUAGAAGCUCUGCUACUUUUCCCCUACGUUGUAGUAUCGAAUCCCUUUAGUAAAAGGCGUUUUACCUUUCAUUCUCCAAAGAUUACAACCCUUGUAAAACACAAAGAGAAGUGG
rnacentral:lncRNA from 1 species